GCUCAGAUUGAACGCUGGCGGCAGGCCUAACACAUGCAAGUCGAGCGGAAACGAAGAGGUGCUUGCACCUCUGGCGUCGAGCGGCGGACGGGUGAGUAAUGCUUGGGAAUAUGCCUUAUGGUGGGGGACAACAGUUGGAAACGACUGCUAAUACCGCAUGAUGUCUACGGACCAAAGUGGGGGACCUUCGGGCCUCACGCCAUAAGAUUAGCCCAAGUGGGAUUAGCUAGUUGGUGAGGUAAUGGCUCACCAAGGCGACGAUCCCUAGCUGGUUUGAGAGGAUGAUCAGCCACACUGGGACUGAGACACGGCCCAGACUCCUACGGGAGGCAGCAGUGGGGAAUAUUGCACAAUGGGCGCAAGCCUGAUGCAGCCAUGCCGCGUGUGUGAAGAAGGCCUUCGGGUUGUAAAGCACUUUCAGUAAGGAGGAAAGGUUAAGUGUUAAUAGCACUUAGCUGUGACGUUACUUACAGAAGAAGCACCGGCUAACUCCGUGCCAGCAGCCGCGGUAAUACGGAGGGUGCGAGCGUUAAUCGGAAUUACUGGGCGUAAAGCGUACGCAGGCGGUUUGUUAAGCGAGAUGUGAA
rnacentral:rRNA from 2 species